rnacentral:misc_RNA from 1 species
GAAAUGCGAUAAGUAAUGUGAAUUGCAGAAUUCAGUGAAUCAUCGAAUCUUUGAACGCACAUUGUGCCCGCCAGCAUUCUGGCGGGCAUGCCUGUUCGAGCGUCAUUUCAACCCUCGAGCUCCCUUUGGGGAGCCCGGCGUUGGGGACCGGCCUCUACCGCCGGCCCCGAAAUGAAGUGGCGGCCCGUCCGCGGCGACCUCUGCGUAGUAACUCACCUCGCACCGGAACCCCGACGUGGCCACGCCGUAAAACACCCAACUUUCUGAACGUUGAUCUCGAAUCAGGUAGGAAUACCCGCUGAACUUAAGC